rnacentral:rRNA from 1 species
UACGUAGGGGGCGAGCGUUGUCCGGAUUUAUUGGGCGUAAAGAGCGUGUAGGCGGCCAGGCAGGUCUGCUGUGAAAACUCGAGGCUCAACCUCGAGACGUCGGCGGAAACCAUCUGGCUAGAGUCCGGAAGAGGAGAGUGGAAUUCCUGGUGUAGCGGUGAAAUGCGCAGAUAUCAGGAAGAACACCCGUGGCGAAGGCGGCUCUCUGGGACGGUACUGACGCUGAGACGCGAAAGCGUGGGGAGCGAACAGG